rnacentral:rRNA from 1 species
UACGUAGGGGGCAAGCGUUGUCCGGAAUCAUUGGGCGUAAAGCGCGUGUAGGCGGCUUGGUAAGUCCGCUCUGAAAGCCCGGGGCUCAACCCCGGGAGGCGGGUGGAUACUGUCAAUCUCGAGUCCGGAAGAGGCGAGUGGAAUUCCUGGUGUAGCGGUGAAAUGCGCAGAUAUCAGGAGGAACACCGGUGGCGAAGGCGGGUCUCUGGGCCGUAACUGACGCUGAGGAGCGAAAGCGUGGGGAGCGAACAGG